rnacentral:rRNA from 1 species
CCUACGGGGGGCAGCAGUGAGGAAUAUUGGUCAAUGGCCGGAAGGCUGAACCAGCCAAGUCGCGUGAGGGACGACUGCCCUAUGGGUUGUAAACCUCUUUUAUAAGGGAAGAAUAAAUGCUACGUGUAGCAUGAUGCCUGUACCUUAUGAAUAAGCAUCGGCUAACUCCGUGCCAGCAGCCGCGGUAAUACGGAGGAUCCGAGCGUUAUCCGGAUUUAUUGGGUUUAAAGGGUGCGUAGGCGGGUUUUUAAGUUAGUGGUUAAAAGUCGGGGCUUAACCGUGAAUUUGCAAUUAAUACUGGAAGUCUCGAGUACAGACGAGGUAGGCGGAAUAAGUGGUGUAGCGGUGAAAUGCUUAGAUAUAACGAAGAACUCCGAUAGCGAAGGCAGCUUACCAAACUGCGACUGACAUUGAAGCACGAGAGCGUGGGUAGCGAACAGGAUUAGAUACCCGUGUAGUC